GCUAACUACGUGCCAGCAGCCGCGGUAAUACGUAGGACGCAAGCGUUAUCCGGAUUUACUGGGCGUAAAGAGGGCGCAGGCGGCCCUUCAAGUCAGGUGUUAAAACUCUUGGCUUAACUGAGAGAUGCCAUCUGAUACUGUUGGGCUUGAGAGCAGUAGGGGGAGACGGAAUUCCCGGUGUAGUGGUGAAAUACGUAGAUAUCGGGAGGAACACCAGUGGCGAAAGCGGUCUCCUUGGCUGUUUCUGACGCUUAUGCCCGAAAGCGUGGGGAGCGAACAGGAUUAGAUACCCUGGUAGUCCACGCCGUAAACUAUGAGCACUUGCCAUAGGGAGUAUCGACCCUCCCUGUGCCGAAGCUAACGCGUUAAGUGCUCCGCCUGGGGAGUACGGUCGCAAGACUAAAACUCAAAGGAAUUGACGGGGGCCCGCACAAGCAGCGGAGCGUGUGGUUUAAUUCGAUGCAACACGAAGAACCUUACCAAGGCUUGACAUGACAGAAGUAGCAGACCGAAAGGCGAGCCACCUGUUGAAUCAGGAACUGCCACAAGUGCUGCAUGGCUGUCGUCAGCUCGUGCCGUGAGGUGUUGGGUUAAGUCCCGCAACGAACGCAACCCUUUUUGCCAGUUGAUUUCUCUGGCGAGACUGCCCCGCAAAACGGGGAGGAAGGUGGGGAUGACGUCAAGUCAGCAUGGCCCUUAUGCCUUGGGCUACACACACGCCACAAUGGGCGGUACAAUGGGUUGCCACAGAGCGAUCUGGAGCUAAUCCCCAAAGCCGUCCUCAGUACGGAUUACAGGCUGAAACCCGCCUGUAUGAAGCUGGAGUU
rnacentral:rRNA from 1 species